rnacentral:rRNA from 1 species
UCGAGGGGCAGCGGGGUUGUAGCAAUACAACUGCCGGCGACCGGCGCACGGGUGAGUAACACGUAUGUAACCUGCCCUCUGCAGGGGGAUAAGCGGAAGAAAUUCCGUCUAAUACCGCAUAAUACAAUUUGGAGACAUCUCCGGGUUGUCAAAGGAGUGAUCCGGCAGAGGAUGGACAUGCGGCGCAUUAGCUAGUCGGCGGGGUAACGGCCCACCGAGGCUACGAUGCGUAGGGGUUCUGAGAGGAAGGUCCCCCACACUGGUACUGAGACACGGACCAGACUCCUACGGGAGGCAGCAGUGAGGAAUAUUGGUCAAUGGGCGGAAGCCUGAACCAGCCAAGUCGCGUGAGGGAAGACGGUCCUAUGGAUUGUAAACCUCUUUUGCAGGGGAGCAAGGCGCGGUACGUGUACCGCGAAGGAGAGUACCCUGAGAAAAAGCAUCGGCUAACUCCGUGCCAGCAGCCGCGGUAAUACGGAGGAUGCGAGCGUUAUCCGGAUUUAUUGGGUUUAAAGGGUGCGCAGGCGGACUGUUAAGUCAGCGGUAAAAUGUCGGUGCUCAACACCGGCCCGGCCGUUGAAAACUGGCAGCCUUGAGUGAGCGAGAAGUCUGCGGAAUGCGUGGUGUAGCGGUGAAAUGCAUAGAUUUCUUGGAGAACCCCGAGNGCGAAGGCAGCCCACCGGCGCUCAANNGANGNUCAGGCACGAAAACGUGGGAUCUCUUUAGGGAGAAANNNNGGNAGUNAAAGAAAAAAAGGACCCUCUGNAGAAANNNNNNNNNNNNNNNNACUGCAAAUGAAGAGAAAGCGUUAAGCAUUCCACCUGGGGAGUACGCCGGCAACGGUGAAACUCAAAGGAAUUGACGGGGGCCCGCACAAGCGGAGGAACAUGUGGUUUAAUUCGAUGAUACGCGAGGAACCUUACCCGGGCUCAAACGGAAGGGGACAGUAUGAGAAAUCAUACAUUCCUUCGGGACCGCUUCCGAGGUGCUGCAUGGUUGUCGUCAGCUCGUGCCGUGAGGUGUCGGCUUAAGUGCCAUAACGAGCGCAACCCCUAUCGACAGUUGCUAGCAGGUAAAGCUGAGGACUCUGUCGAGACUGCCGGCGCAAGCUGUGAGGAAGGCGGGGAUGACGUCAAAUCAGCACGGCCCUUACGUCCGGGGCGACACACGUGUUACAAUGGCAGGUACAGCGGGAGGCCACCCGGCGACGGGGCGCAGAACCCGAAAACCUGUCUCAGUUCGGAUUGGAGUCUGCAACCCGACUCCAUGAAGCUGGAUUCGCUAGUAAUC